GCCCGAAAGGACGAAAGGAAGAAGAUUUGAUAAAAAUGGUGCAGAACGGACGGUUGACUGGCUCCGGCUUUGGCUUUGGCUUUGGCUUGGACUUUCGCUUUCUUCAUGAUCCAUUCCCCUUGAUCGCCGACCACCUCUCGUCGCCGUCGCUCAAGGUAUCAUGGGUGUGAAGAUAGGAUUCCUGUUUCUUCUUGUUUUGAGUGGUCUUGCAGCCCUCGAUGCUAGGCAACUACCGCGCAAUCUUGAAGCUAUCAGUACCACAUGCUGGAAAAGGGAAGUUCAACGAAUGGAUAUAUGUGCGAGUGGUGCGAGU